CCUACGGUGAGCAGCAGUGAGGAAUAUUGGUCAAUGGUCGGGAGACUGAACCAGCCAAGCCGCGUGAGGGAUGAAGGUACAGAGUAUCGUAAACCUCUUUUGUCAGGGAACAAAGGCGGGGACGUGUCCCCGGCUGAGUGUACCUGAAGAAAAAGCAUCGGCUAACUCCGUGCCAGCAGCCGCGGUAAUACGGAGGAUGCGAGCGUUAUCCGGAUUUAUUGGGUUUAAAGGGUGCGCAGGCGGAGUGUCAAGUCAGCGGUAAAAUGUCGGGGCUCAACCCCGGCCGGCCGUUGAAACUGGCGGGCUCGAGUUGGAGAGAAGUAUGCGGAAUUCGUGGUGUAGCGGUGAAAUGCAUAGAUAUCACGAAGAACCCCGAUUGCGAAGGCAGCAUACCGGCUCCACACUGACGCUGAGGCACGAAAGCGUGGGUAUCGAACAGGAUUAGAUACCCCAGUAGUC
rnacentral:rRNA from 1 species